GAGGUGGCAGCUGGGGUAAAAUCCUACUGGGCUGGUUGUUCGGUGUUGCAGGGAAUAUGGGAUAAAAAAAGGGGAGUCCUGCCGCUUUCUGCCCCACAGCUUUUGUCCAGGACAAGUUGUCAGAAAUACAGGAAGAAACUUCAGUGCGAGGGUCAAGGUGGAUCCCAAAAUUCUACUUACCAAGGCAGCUUCUUCUUUGUGUGUCUGUUUGACAGACUGUUCUAUUCUAUUCGUGCUUUGAUGAAUUUGUUGUAACAUAAAAAUGGAGUACAGACCAGUUUAAUCUCAGCAUGAAGGGAUUAAAAAAAAAAAGAAACAGGUUUUUCUGGAUUCUGUUGUUCUGCAGAUACAGUGCAGCCAGAGGGUUCCACUUAAUGGAAAGGAAUGGCAGCGGUGCGGAAAGAGUGGAGAGAGGGGCUGGGGAUUUAGCUCAGUGGCUUAAGUGCCCGCUUUGCAAGUGUAUGGUCGUGAGUUCGAUCCCCGGUACCGAAAUUAAAAAAAAAAAGAAAGAGAGCACCUGAGGAGCAAGUUUCCAGAAAGCCACAGGAGCUGUGAAUUUCUGCCCCUCCCUCUAGUGGGGUUUAAGCAGCUAAUUUGACUCCAGAGAAACCGAAAGUGAAGCUUGCAUACCACAUGGGAAUGGUGGAUGGAAUCUAAAACAGAUUAAGUUAAUACAAUGUAAUACACCGUGUGACAGAAGCAUCAUUAGAUAAAGCUGGAGUGUAAACUCCUCAAAGGCGAGUUCCUGCAGUUUUGAGAUGCAGCAAGUACAAACCCCAAGUGACUGAGGAUGCUGCGCCUGACACUGGAGCCCAAACCUGAGGCCAACUUGUCCUCUGGAUAUCUUGCAAGAGACCAAGUGAUCUCAGGAGACAGCAGAUGACACCAAGGCAUCCUGAGACAGAACAGAGAGGAGCAGGAAGCACGCGGGCAGGGCAGUGGGUGUGGGGAAAGGCCCAGAUUCCGGACAGAGAGGGGUGAGUAGGGGGACAGAGCCCCAUUCAGGAGUCAGGAGAGGAGAGACUGGGCAGUGCAGCGGCAUCAAAAUGCAGCCCUCACCAAAGAACGUGUUUCUUUUUCUAGAAAUGUGCAAUUACUCAGACUUGGUUUUGUUGUUUUGUAAACCCCUAACCUCAUUGCAAAAUUUUGCCUUCAAAGCCUGCGGCUUUAGCUGCUCUUGGUGGCUAGGAAGCAAGUCCCAAGAGACCAGUGGAGUCCUGACAUAGAGAAAUGAAACUCCCAACCUGCUAUGUCCGGUGUGAGUUUGUGUUUUCUAAAAUCAAAGAAUGAAUUGUAGGAACAACGGAAGUUAAGAGUAGAAUAUAUGCUUUGAGAGAGAAAGCUUCUGUGUGAGAGACAGAAGGGGUCCUGAGCGGGUUGCCAGGGACUGUCUUUUCCAGGGACUUUUAUAGAGUAAAAUGGGGUGGGACAGGUUCAAGGUGGGGAAAACUGGGAAUUCACAAAGUAGAUGGGCACAAGGUGGGACAGAACUAAGGUUCACCAGUAAGAUUAUUAGUUAGGUAAAACUGAUUACAUUAGGGACAAAUGGGGAAGCCAGUCACAUAGAAAGAGGGCAUUCUUAGAGAGCAGUGACUCUUCCGUAGGGGGUUGCAAUGGUGACUCCUCACUUCCUCAGGGUGAUAGCUAUUUAGAAUAUCAAUCAUUAGGAUAUGGAUGCAUUUGUUUGAUCUUUUUACUUGAGGCCUGGCCCACAGCAGGAGGUUCCUAUCUCCCCCACAGCUGCAAGGUAUCUAGGCUUCUGCACUGGCUCCUUUGAAGACCCAGCCCUGUCUCACUACCUAUAAUAUUUCUAACCAACUCAGCUGCCUAUAACAGUCUCAGGCUGCUUUUUGGUUGUGACCAAAUGGAGAUCCAGUGGCCAGGGUAGACUGCAGAAGAAUUCUCCGUCUUCUUGUUUCAGUUCCCUGGGGUAUUGUAAGAAAGCACCACAAAUGGGGAAGUUUUAAUAACAGAAAUGUGUUCUCUCAUAGUGGUACCGUGUCUAGGCUGAGCACUGCUGGGGUGAGCAGCUAACCAGGAUCUGAAACUCAGUACCAGUAAUGAAUUAACGGAGUAGGAAUUUAAGAAAGGAAGAUAUUAUGCCUGUAAAAAUGAAAAAACAGAAAGCUGCCUUAGUGGUGAGCAUCGAGACUCUGGAAAGAUGGUUUCCCACAGGCUUUUGAACUGGCUUCUUGUUAUCUGAUGUAAGGACCCUUCUUCCUGGGUGGGUACCUGGAAUUUGGUGCACAGCCUGAAUGGCUCUCUGAGCUGUCUUUGGAUGAGCCCCAGGCCACAAGGCUCUAACCUGGGCACCCUGGCCUUAUCCCUGGAUUUAUAUGUUGGCUAGGAGGAGUUCUAUAGAAAGACAAUUUAAAGUUAGUGACUAAGGAGAUGAGUGUUAUCUAGUACAGCACUAAAGUGACGCCUAGAAUGGAAAUACUUACAUGUAUACAGUGAUACCUCAGUUCACAAAUUUAAAUUCAUUUUACAAACUUAAUUUGUUCCAUAAUUCAGGGGAGGUAGCUGUGUUUGUGCAGGGUAGAUGGCUGCAGUUGUGUUUGUCACCAAUGCGGAGUUCAAGAGCAGAAGCAAAAUUUUGCCAAAUGCUUCUGUGUUCACCAGCCAAGGCAUUUCUGUGCUUUUAUAUAAUAAAUAAGGUUUCUCUUUAAAUUAGGCGGCCCCCUCCCCUUCUGUCUCCUUUGCAUUUAAUUGGAGGUGGGGAAGGGCGGCUAUUUUGGUUGGAGCAUCCUGCUUUCUCUGUGCAGUCUGUCAGGUCUGCCUCUAGUCUUUCAGUUUGCUUCUUGGGUUUUUUUUGUUUGUUUGUGUCAUGGUUUAUGUCUGUGUCCCCCAGGCCUCAUGAGUUUGCAUUGUGCAUUUGUGAUCAGUUCAUUGUGUAGUGCUUGGAUUGAUGGUGUCAGUGCUCCACCCACAUAGGAGUGGAGCCAGGAUGUGAUGUAAUGGCAGGAAGAAGGUGUGUCUUGCUCUUUGCUGGUUCCUGUUUGCUGUUUGCAGCUGCCAUGAACAGCGGCCCAGCCAUACCUGCCUGCCUUGGAGCCAACUGAGUGUGGACUGAAACCUCCAAAAACUGAUCUCACUAUGUAGUUCAUACUGGCGUUGAACUUGCUGUGGACACAGCCUGAUGUCCAGCGCACAGCAGUGAUCCUCCUGACUCCGCCUCUUGAGAGCCAGAAUGACAGGUGUGCAGCCCUACUUUUCUUCUGGUCUUUUGAUCUAAAUCCUUGUGCCAUUUGUGCUAAUGCUUUCAAAGGAAUUCCUUCCACUCCUUCUAGGCGAGAUUAAUAAAAAAUAAAAAUAAAAAAGAAAGAAAGAAAAGAAGAGUAAA